CAGUCGCCGCGGUAAUACAGAGGGUGCAAGCGUUAAUCGGAAUUACUGGGCGUAAAGCGCGCGUAGGUGGUUCGCCAAGUUGGAUGUGAAAUCCCCGGGCUCAACCUGGGAACUGCAUCCAAAACUGGCGAGCUAGAGUAUGGUAGAGGGUGGUGGAAUUUCCUGUGUAGCGGUGAAAUGCGUAGAUAUAGGAAGGAACAUCAGUGGCGAAGGCGACCACCUGGACUGAUACUGACACUGAGGUGCGAAAGCGUGGGGAGCAAACAGGAUUAGAUACCCGGGUAGUCCCUGUCUCUUAUAA
rnacentral:rRNA from 1 species